rnacentral:lncRNA from 1 species
GAACCUACAACCAGCAGGAAGGCGCAGGAAACCUGCAGAACCAAAUUCCUUUCAUCUAUCAUCAUUGCCUAGAAAAUACAUUAAUAAAAUUAGUAUUAAUUACAAAUAUAUUCAAUUAUUCUAAAUUGCUUAAAUUUUAUUUAAAAAGUCCAUAAGCAAGAAUCACACCAAACAAUGGUAUAAAUUCUAAUAUAAAGACCUACGAAAAAGAGGGGAGAAAAAAAAGUAAGGGGGGAAAAAAUUAGUAUUAAAAAAAUUAAUGCACAAAAAUGUAAGGCUUAGUUAAGUUGGUUUGGCAAAUUUGUUCAUAAGCAUAGGCUAGUAGGACCAAUAGACUGUCGUAGGAGCAAAAUGUGGGCUACCACGAAGGAUAAGAAGCGCGGAACCACCAAAGAUAAAAAUAAUAGGAAGUGGUUGCCUCUGAGCAGGCCGUCCAAACUUCCCCUUGUUCGAAGCAAAAAAUUUUUCAGUUUCCUCAACUUAUCGUCAGGCCGAGUAAACUCCCACUUGUUCAAAGCAAAAAAUCCCCACGUUUUUCUCAACUUAUCAUCAUCACCUCAAAGAAGAGCUAGUAAAUAGAAAGAAACACCAAGGAAUGAAGGCGCUUUCCUCAACUUAUCAUCAUUGCCUCAAAGAAAAUCUAGUAAACAGAAAAGAACACCAAGGAAUGAAGGAAACCAAGUAAUAUCAGUAAAAUAACGAUGUAUUGAAGCAGUGCAACCCAUCCAAAGUUACUCCAUUCAAUGCCAAACAAAAAUAGGAAUAGAAAACUUCAGUACGACCAAAUGCUUGUAAAGCUGGUUGCCCACAAAUUAUCCGACCAUCAAACAGAAAUAAAAUGCCCGAGAGUCAUAUUUGGCCACCAAUUAAACAUCAGGUGAUCCAAACCCACAACCCACACCUCAUGUAAAAAAAGAUUGUAAAAAGAGAGCUGACAGCAAAUUCUGAAUCACCAGGAAGGCAUCACAUGUGCACACUUAAAAUUAUAGAGUAGCAAAACAGCAAGUUGACAAUGAUGGUUACUUGUGGAGUCAUCCAUUAUGCAUGAUCUAAGGGAUGCAUGCUAGGAUUGAUCUAAUGACUAAGAAGGUUAUAACA